GCACAGAACAGAUGCAAACCAAGGAGGCUGGAAGAUAAGAGCAGAGCCAUCAGGACACGAGCCCCUCGCGGGUAUGAAACAGGAGUCGUGGGAGCAAAUUAAGCUUCCUGUGUGCAGCAUGGAUCUAAAGCUGGUGGAUGCAGGGGGGUGAACAAGACAACAUCUUCACUUCCUGCAUGCUGAUGGCAGAAGUGAGACAUCAGCGAAGAAACAUCACGAUCACCAAAUUACGAUGAACACCAUGGAGGAAACAAAGGACACUGUGACACCAAGGAAGGAAGGGAGGUUACUUUUCAUAGUGGCUGUAAAUAGAACUGAAGGCUGAAAAACAGCUGUUAAAAUGGCUUGUUUGUUUGAAGAUGAAUGAGAGUACACAAUAAAAGGAAAAAAAUUUGGACACAGACACACACAGAGGGAUGACCACGUGGAGAUGCAGGGAGAGGAUAGCAGCUACAGGCCAGGGCGAGAGGCCUCAGAGGAAACCAGUCCUGCUGACUCUUUGAACUCGGACUUCCAGCCUCCAGAACUGAACCACUGUCUUCCUUUAUCCCAGGAUGUCUGCAAGGAAGAAAAUGUCCUUUUUCUAGCAUUUAGAGGCCACCAACAUUGAAUAACCACACUGGGGUAGACACAGCGGCGAAGAGAUUCCUGCUGUUCCCAUCACAGCAGCCUUGGAGAUGAGAAGACAGAUGGAUCUGACCAGAGUGAGUCCCAGCCCGACCUUCUCCCACACACUCUACACAUCAGCUAUCAAGACUGAGCCAGCCUUGUGAGGGCAGAGUGGGAGGGAGAUGAGGCCCAAGGUUCUUAGAAUUCACCUGGCCUCAUCAGGACCUUCAAGAUCUUCCUCUCUUCUCUGCUACCAAAACUGUGUGAGGGGGAAAAAAAGCCAGGGUAAGAUUGGAAAUUCAGCCACCCACAUCCUUGCAGUGACUAACAGCUGUUAAGAGACAUUUUAUUUGUGUUUUGUUUUGUGACAGAGUCUCCCUCUGUCACCCAGGCUGGAGUGCAGUGGUGCAAUCUCAGCUCACUGCAACCUCUGCCUCCUGGCUUUAAGUAAUUCUCCUGCCUCUGCCUCCCGAGUAGCUGAGAUUACAGGGGCCCGCCACCACACCCUGUUAAUUUUUGUAUUUUUUAGUAGAGACGGGGUUUCACCAUGUUGGCCAGGCUGGUCUCAAACUCCCGACCUCAGGUGAUCUUCCUACCUUGGCCUCCCAAAGUUCUGGGAUUACAGGUGUGAGCCACUGUGCCCAGCUAAGGGACAUUUUAAUAAACCCCAAACUGCAAACAGCCUUAAGCUAAAAAAUGGUAUUCUGAGCAUGUAUUCUCAGAUAGGAAGGUUUAGAAGAGCCCAGCGAAGCUGGCUUAGUGCCCUUCAAGUCACCCCAAAAGAGCUAGCUGCCUGACUGAAGCCAGAGCCUGCCCUCCUUUUAAUGUGUACAGCAUCUCACGGACUGCCCUGUUUACAGCACCUCUUACGGUUAGAUGUGGCCACCACAAGGAUGCUCUGCUGUGUUCAUGGACAGCAU
rnacentral:lncRNA from 10 species